GCUCCCUUCGUCUAGUGGUUAGGACACCGGCCUCUCACGCCGGCGACAGGGGUUCGAGUCCCCUAGGGAGCGCCA
rnacentral:tRNA from 1 species